rnacentral:rRNA from 1 species
UAAUACGGAGGGUGCAAGCGUUGUCCGGAUUCAUUGGGUUUAAAGGGUGCGUAGGCGGGCAUAUAAGUCAGUGGUGAAAGGCCAGGGCUCAACUCUGGAUGUGCCAUUGAUACUGUAAGUCUUGAGAGCAGAUGAGGUAGCUGGAAUGUGUAGUGUAGCGGUGAAAUGCAUAGAGAUUACACAGAACACCGAUUGCGAAGGCAGGUUACUAGUCUGUAUCUGACGCUGAGGCACGAAAGUGUGGGGAGCGAACAGGAUUAGAUACCCUGGUAGUCCACACUGUAAACGAUGGAUACUAGAUGUUCGGGGGCAACCCUGAGUGUCCAAGCGAAAGCGAUAAGUAUCCCACCUGGGGAGUACGACCGCAAGGUUG